rnacentral:rRNA from 1 species
GUAGUUAAGCUACUAAGGGCGUACGGUGGAUGCCUUGGCGCCAGAAGCCGAAGAAGGGCGUGGUACACUGCGAUAAGCCUCGGGGAGCCGUGUGCAGGCGUUAUAUCCGGGGAUACCCGAAUGGGGAAACCCGCCUGGGGUGGGCAACCUUGCCCAGGCACCGCCCGCUGAAUACAUAGGCGGGACGGGGGGAACGCGGGGAACUGAAACAUCUUAGUACCCGCAGGAAAAGAGAUCAUUCCCUGAGUAGUGGCGAGCGAAAGGGGAGUAGCCCAAACUGAUGUCACUCAGUGGUGUGCAGGCCUAUGUGACAUCGGGGUUGUAAGGCCCGGCUGGGUACUGCACGAGCCCAAAGGAGUUACAAAUCUGGCUGCUAGUCGAAUCUUUCAGGAAAGCGGAACCAUAGAGGGUGAUAGUCCCGUAGGCGAAAGCAGACCAGACUCCUGCCGGUGACCUUGAGUACCACGGGACACGGGAAAUCCUGUGGGAAGCAGGGAGGACCACCUCCCAAGGCUAAAUACUCCCUGGCGACCGAUAGCGAACAAGUACCGUGA